rnacentral:rRNA from 1 species
UGCAAGUCGAGGGGCAGCAUGAUUGAAGCUUGCUUCAAUUGAUGGCGACCGGCGCACGGGUGAGUAACGCGUAUCCAACCUUCCGUACACUCAGGGAUAGCCUUUCGGAAGAAAGAUUAAUACCUGAUGGUAUGAUGAGAUUGCAUGAUAUCAUCAUUAAAGAUUCAUCGGUGUACGAUGGGGAUGCGUUCCAUUAGGUAGUAGGCGGGGUAACGGCCCACCUAGCCGACGAUGGAUAGGGGUUCUGAGAGGAAGGUCCCCCACAUUGGAACUGAGACACGGUCCAAACUCCUACGGGAGGCAGCAGUGAGGAAUAUUGGUCAAUGGACGAGAGUCUGAACCAGCCAAGUAGCGUGAAGGAUGAAGGUCCUACGGAUUGUAAACUUCUUUUAUAAGGGAAUAAAACCUCCCACGUGUGGGAGCUUGUAUGUACCUUAUGAAUAAGCAUCGGCUAACUCCGUGCCAGCAGCCGCGGUAAUACGGAGGAUGCGAGCGUUAUCCGGAUUUAUUGGGUUUAAAGGGAGCGCAGACGGGUCGUUAAGUCAGCUGUGAAAGUUUGGGGCUCAACCUUAAAAUUGCAGUUGAUACUGGCGUCCUUGAGUGCGGUUGAGGUGUGCGGAAUUCGUGGUGUAGCGGUGAAAUGCUUAGAUAUCACGAAGAACUCCGAUUGCGAAGGCAGCACACUAAGCCGUAACUGACGUUCAUGCUCGAAAGUGUGGGUAUCAAACAGGAUUAGAUACCCUGGUAGUCCACACGGUAAACGAUGGAUACUCGCUGUUGGCGAUAUACUGUCAGCGGCUUAGCGAAAGCGUUAAGUAUCCCACCUGGGGAGUACGCC